rnacentral:piRNA from 1 species
UGGAGAGAUAAAACACUCAGUGAGGAC